rnacentral:rRNA from 1 species
UACGGGGGGGGUAAGCGUUGUUCGGAAUUACUGGGCGUAAAGGGCUCGUAGGCGGCCAACUAAGUCAGACGUGAAAUCCCUCAGCUUAACUGGGGAACUGCGUCUGAUACUGGAUGGCUUGGAUCCGGGAGAGGGAUGCGGAAUUCCAGGUGUAGCGGUGAAAUGCGUAGAUAUCUGGAGGAACACCGGUGGCGAAGGCGGCAUCCUGGACCGGUAUUGACGCUGAACGGCGAAAGCUAGGGGAGCAAACGGG